rfam:Triticum aestivum genome assembly, contig: Triticum_aestivum_CS42_TGACv1_scaffold_179738_2DS
GUUGUACUCCCUCCGCCCGGAAAUACUUGUCAUCAAAAUGGAUAAAAGGGGAUGUAUCUAGACGUAUUUUAAUUCUAGAUCCAUCUCUUUUUAUCCAUUUUGAUGACAAGUAUUUUCGGACGGAGGGAGUAGAUA